GGCGGCUGCGGGGCUGGGAGGUGUGAGCCAGGCCCGGAAUGUCCACCCCGCCGCUGCUUGCGGGCCAUGGCUCUGCAGCUGCUGGCCCACUUCGACGUGCGGGAGGACGUGCUCCCGAGCCUGCCGGCCCAGCCGGAGACAACGGCCGGAGGAGGCGGCGCAGAUGUUUUAGAAACAACUUAUGAGAGCUUACGUGUACUAAACAUCGAAAGAAAUGGGAACAUUAUUUAUACCUAUAAGGAUAAUAAGGGAAAUGCUGUCUUUGGAUUAUAUGACUGCCAAGCCAGGCAGAAUGAGCAUCUGUACACCUUUGAGAAGGACAUGCAAGCCAUCAGCUGCUCUGUCAACAGUGCGAGAACUGUCCUUGCUGCAAGUUUCAUUCAGUACACUAAGGAAGGAGUAAGGAAUGAGCUUCACCCAGGAUCAAAGUGCUUGACUUUGCUGGUUGAAAUCCACCCUGUCAACAAUGUGAAGGUUCUGAAAGCGGUGGAUAGCUGCAUUUGGGUACAGUUCCUCUACCCACACGCUGAGAGUCACCGUCUUCAGAACCACCUGCUACUGAUUUCAGAAGAGAAGUAUAUUGAGCGUUUUCAUAUCCAGAUGACCAGAGAAGAUGGAAACAGAGUGAUUAGAAAUUCUAGCCAUCUCCCAAGAGACAGAAUAGUUGAAGAUUUUGUUUGGGCUCAGUGGGAUAUGUCGGAGCAGAGAUUAUACUACAUUGAACUAAAGAAAUCAGAGAGCAUCUUGAAGUGCAUCCAGUUUUGGGCAGAUGAAAGCUUUGACUUAAUGUUUGAAAUGCCCUUGGACAUAUCAUUAAGUGACUUAGGAUUUAAGCUGGUCAACUUUGGAUAUGAUUAUCGUCAAGACCAAGAGAAGUUUCGCAGUCAGCCUUCUCUGUGCAUUUUCACCAACCAUACAGAAGUAAACCGUUUAAGCCUGGGCUCAACCCUGUCUCCAAACAAACAUACAAAAACAAGAGGGAGUCUGUGUGUGUGUUACAGCCCAAAGAUUGAGUCUUGGAAAGAAAUCACUUAUUCAGUGUUUUACCUUCAUAAAGGGUACAGAAAGACCUUCACUGCUGCUGCUGGGAGUGCUGACUCACAUGUGACAGAGGGCAUUACUUUUCUCAAUCUUGGCUACUUUGUGGCGGUUUACUUACCUGGUCAUUUUCUUCAUUUACUUAACACUCAUCACCCAGACUUGAUCUGCCACAGUCUGUUUCUGACAGGAAGCAACAAAAUGGCGGCUGUGCUACCUCUGAGUCCUUUACAGUCCCUGCCAGGGUCCCUGAUACUGGACUGGCAUUCUGGCAAGGUCUAUAGAGCCACCCUUGACCAGUCAUACUUGAUGUCCUUCCUGUGGAAUGCCCGCCUAGACUGUGAGAAGAUGGCUGCAUUGCACUGUGUGCUCUCCUGUGGUCGAGACCCAGGUUUCCCGGAAGGCCAGAUUCUUCAGUGGAUUUCUGAGCAAGCCUCUGCCUGCCAUUCGUUUGACCUCAUUCAGGAAUUUCUAACUGCCUCUUCCUAUUGGAGCGUGUAUCCAGAGCUGGCUGAUGUGGACAUGCUGUUACCGUACUCCUCUGUGCUGACUUGGGACACAGAAAUUCCUGGAAUAACGCUUGUGAAAGAAGAGCUUCCGCUGCCUCUCCUGAAGGUCUACAACCUGAAGGGGUACUGGGCAAAGCUGAGCUCCAAGCUGGAGUACAUUAAGUAUACGAAGCCUCACCUACACUACCACAACAGUGUUGUGAGGAGAGAGUGGCACAACUUGCUCUCCGAGGAGAAAACGGGGAAAAGAAGGAGCACAAUGUACGUGAGGAACAUUCUUGACAGCGCAGUGAAGGUGAUUUCCAACAUGGAAAAAAGGAUACUGGAGCCAAGGUUACUGCCCCUCUUACAAGAGGAAGACAGGCACCAGAGGCUGCUCAUGGGCCUGAUGGUGUCUGAACUCAGAGACCACCUGCUGAGACACCUACAGGGGGUGGAAAAGAAGAAAGUUGAGCAGCUGGUUCUGGACUACAUUUCAAAACUGCUCGAUCUCGUUUGGUGCAUGCUGGAGACCGCUUGGAGGAAACACAGUGUGCAUCCUUGGCUUUUCCACCUUAACGACCGUGGCAGUGCCGCAGAUUUUGAAGUCUUUCAUCUUAUGACCAGGAUUUUGGAUGCUACUAACAGCCUGUGCUUCCCUCUGCCUCCCGGUUUCCACUCUCUGCACACGAUCCUUGGGGUCCACUGUCUCCCUUUGUACAACCUGCUGCACUACAUUGAUAAUGGGGUGCUGCUGCUCACAGAGACUGCAGUCACAAGGCUCAUGAAAGAUCUGGACAAUUCAGAGAAAAACGAAAAACUGAAAUUCAGCGUCAUUGUGAGGCUCCCUCCGCUUAUUGGCCAGAAGAUCUUUCGGCUUUGGGACCAUCCCAUGAGUUCCAACAUCAUUUCACGGAACCAUGUGGCACGCCUGCUGAGGGGCUAUAAGAAGGAGGUGAAUCUGUGUGAAGCCCAGACACCUCGGAACUGUAUGAUUGACAAGUCAUCAUUUCCAGUAGAAUUUCUGCCUCUGAACUACUUCAUUGAAAUUCUGACGGGUCUGGAGUCCUCCAACCAAGCCCUGUCUGAUUUGGAAGGACGGGACAACGUGGACGCAGAAUUUGUAGAGGAGGCGGCUCUGAAACACACCACAGUGCUUCUGGGCUUAUGAAGUGAAUUGCAGAUGAUCUGUUUUCAACGUUUUCAAAUUGCUUUCACCUCCCUUUCCUGGGAGUUCUUCAGCUGUCUUCUAAGAUUGCAAACGGGUCAGGAUAUACCACAGAGCUGUUUGGCUGCGGUUCAGUACUUGUUCAGACGGAGCGAGCUGCUAAUCUGUUGGCUUGAGCAGAAAAGAAUGACAAGCAGUUCAGGGCUGUGUGCUAUGGCAGAAACAGUGCUCUUCUUGGUGACUCAGCCGGAGGGCCAAUGGGCAGAGCGGCAAGGGCUAGGCAGAUCUCCGGAAGUAUCACAAAACAAGCAGAAAAAGUAAAGUUCUGAAGAGGAUCUAAGAAGAACCUGACUUAGGACUGAAGAAGAUCUGCCCUUUUCCUCAUGGAGUAACUGUGAAGAAUCCUAAUUUGUACACACAGGACUUAAAGCAGCCUCUGCGGUGCCUCAGACAGAGCUGUAUUUAAUUUUAUAUUGAUGAAGGUUUGACUUGGCACUAGCUUCUCAUUGAAGACAGCCUCAAAUGCCGAGACCUUUGGCCCGCCUCUCCUGAUUUUUGACUGUAGCCUUUUUCUUUGUGUAAAGGCAUCAGUAGGAUUUCCAUAAGCCCAUCAGUGUGUUGCUGCAGAGGCCAUGACACCUGUCUCGCUGUGUUGUUCCUGUGAUUUCCCAAAGCUGAAGUUAUUGGACACAUAUUUGAGGUAAACAUCAGUUUGACUUUGACCGUCAUCUCAUAAUUAUUCAAUAACUUGCUAUUCACUGAAGAGUAACAUGCCACCUACUUGGCAAUUCACAAAUUCUGACCCAGUAAAAUAUGAACAGUCUUUUGCAGCCAAGCCAAUUCCCUAGGCCUUGGAGCAUAAGUUUGGCUUUCUUAUUUCAAAGGUUGGAUCAGCUUCAUUCCUCCACUUGGAAUCCCUCUCUGCAUCAAAAAAUAUGUAUUUUUUUAAUGCUCUAGGGCUAAACACACACACACACACACACACACACACACACACGACUGUAAUCCAAGAAUUUUCAUUACAUGGUGGCAACUUUUUCUCAACCAUUGGCACAUAUUGUAAUAUUUAAGUGUCCAGCUUUCUAUGAAUUAAAAAAAAUAAAAAAUAUUGGGCCACCAUGGAAGAGGAUAUGCUCCUUCUUGAUGCAACUUGAUGUGCUGGGGUGGGUUAGUAGGGGACUCUCCUUUCCUGAGGGGUAGGGUAGAAGAGAUAGGGGAAGGAGGGAGGGAGAGUGGGACCGGGAUGAGAGAAGAAAGGGGGCUAUGAUUGGGAUAUAAAGUGAAUAGAUAAAUAAAUUAAAAAAAAAAAACAUUUCCAUUCUUACGGUGUUUAAACUUUCUAGUUUUGUUUUGUUUUUGUUUUUGUUUUUUUCAUUUUUAUUUUUAAUUCCCAAAGAGGUUACUAAAUCCUAUGACACAGGGACUGUUUAAGUAUGCGGUGUUUUCUUAUUAAAUGUCUGGUACUUACUGAAGGCUCUCACAAGCUGUUUGCUUUGGGACGAUCUCGCAAAGCAAUGAGACCAAAUUAAGGACUCACAAAAUGAGAGUAAACUAAUUUCCAUUAAGUGUGGCUUGGAACAGAAUGUUGGAUUUAUCAGAAUAAAAGUAUGGUAUUUCUCAGUCUCCCAGAGCUGGACGUGAGAUCCCUCACUGCUACCAGCACAAUGGGAAAUAGCUUCAGCAUGUUAGUAAAUAUAAAAGUGCAGGUCUCACACGUACGAGCGAAUUGUCACAUCUGAUAAAAACACCGGAGUUGGGAAGAUGAAUGGGCGAAAUGAAAAUUUAAGCAGAUAAGUAGAAUUGUUCUCAUAGAAGUACAGAAUUUUGGUAGACAUCUAGAAAAAUCUAGUAUCAGAGCUUAAAAUGAUCAUGAAUUUGUUUUCAGAUGUGAAAAAAAAUGCAUUUUUAAGGAAUAAAUUAGGACCUAAAUCUUUUUGCAGCAAAGGGAUCCUUGUAAAAUUGUGAAAAUUUUUCACAGCGUUACUUGAGUGAGAGGCUUCACCGCUGCUCUUUACACGAGCCAAGUGCUGCUGCAGCAAAGAGGCUGUGUCAUGGUGUCACAGGGCUGUUUCCCCUCCCAGGUAACCACACUGCACACACACAAGUGAUUUACCUGCUUUUCCUCCGGAAGAGAAAAUGACCACUCCAAUUUCUGUGCUUCACUGAAAAGCUAUUUAUUUUGUACGUUUACAGCAUCUUGUUGUCUGUUAUAUACCCCUGGAAUGUAGUCAAUAUAAACACGUGAGCAACUGGGAUUCACUUUGACAUAACUGUAGCCUCUGCUCCAUUCAGUGUCUUGUAACAUGUCAUAGUUGGUGGAUGUAAGAAACCAUGCCCCACUCUGUUGACUGCCCCUAGCUGAUCAGCAGUGCCCGUUCGUGGUGCGGAGGCUGGCUGAAGUCCUCGCGUUGGGAAGCCUGGACUGGUCCACACGUUUAGAUUUCAAUAGGCUUGACAACAGGCUUCCUUAUGUGCCUCAUGUUGGAUCCAGGUUCGGUGGGCUUAAACGGAGCCAUGGCGCCAUAUGGUUUGGGCAGAGGAAGCGAGGUUUCUGCAUCGGGCAUGUAGGCGUUUGGACGCUGCUCUGCGGUGGUGAAGACCCCGUUGGGCAGCUGCCGAUAAUCUGUUUCCACGUACUC